rnacentral:lncRNA from 1 species
CACUUACUUUAAAGUAAGAGUAAAAUCUUGUACUUUCCCUUAUUUUUUCUGGCACAACGGAUCCCGAUUUGACCAUCAUAUCUACUGCACAUUUGUUUAACGUCUGUAAAAUCUUGUUGAAACUUCGGCUGGUAGUGAAAUGCGAUCAGCCAAAUUUUUGACGAAUCAAGCAAUAUCAAGUAUUUUGACCAACAAUGAGUAGGAACGUUGCAAGCAUUUCUUCAAUACAAAUAUACCUAGUAUCUUGUAAGAGCCCUUUUUCUCUAAUGAUAUUGCUUAAUUUUAGAAAUACAUUUGGAUACAUUCUAUAAACUUGUCGAAAGUUUUCUGGAUCCUCCUUUAAUAUUUUAUGUAUAUAGUCAUAUCCAUAUCUAAUUUUUGGUUGCCUAGUUAGUGAAUGUGUAGUAUGUGCACAACACAUAUUAUUUGUAUAAUCAUUUAUCAUGUAGAGAAUUGCUUGAAUUCCCAUCCAUAAAUACCGAAUGUUUUCAUAUAAUGCUUCCUUAUAGUUAUCUUCUUCAAUCUCAUCCACCUCUUUUUCAUGAUCUUCAUGUAUGUUAACAUUAGACAUUAUAUAUACGGAAGUA